UACGGAGGGCGCAAGCGUUGUUCGGAAUCACUGGGCGUAAAGCGCGUGUAGGCGGCUAUCUAAGUCUGAUGUGAAAGCCCGGGGCUUAACCCCGGAAGUGCAUUGGAUACUGGAUGGCUAGAGGACGAGAGAGGGAAGUGGAAUUCCUGGUGUAGGGGUGAAAUCCGUAGAUAUCAGGAGGAACAUCGGAGGCGAAGGCGGCUUCCUGGCUCGUUUCUGACGCUCAGACGAGAAAGCGUGGGUAGCAAACAGG
rnacentral:rRNA from 1 species